AAAGAAGAAAAUACUUUUGGAUAAAUAUUUAAGUCGUAACAUAACGACAAAAGUCAACAACAUUUACAAGCAGCGGAAAUAGUUUGAAAUAAAAAUCCAAAGUAUUUAAAAUAGCAAAAUGCACCGGAGCUAUGAGACCUAUCAGACAUAGCUCAUACCCCUGGGGUAUUCUUGGCAGACACCUGUACAAUAGCCCUGUCCAAGAAUCUUAACUUCCCCACGUCACAUCAAAAAGUGGUACAUGGAACCCAUCAAAAUAAAAUGUCAAGCUGACAAUAUUGGUAUAGGUACAGUCUUCCAAAUUAAAAUGAACACAACCCAAAAAGAAAGACAUCUAAUCCCUAUACGUCAACCUAAUCUGUCAUUCUACAAAAAACUAUACAUCCCAGAUGAUCUUCACGCGCCCCGCAAGAUCCUCCUAACACAGCUCCAGUCAGGUGUGUCCAACUACCUUCCCAUCUACAGGGUACUAACCAGUAGGAUGGUCCUGGUUCUCAUAUGAGAGCAAAGCCUAGAUUUCCACAAUAGUUGUAAAGGGUCACCAACCGAAAUUAACAAUUAACACAUAACAUUUAAGUUUUUAAAUGCACAAAAUAACCUUUCAACUUGGCAUGCACCUUAAAAGAGUUUCCAUAUGCCAAACAUGCAUAAACAAAGUUGAAAAAUGAAGUUUUAAACAAAACUGCCAUGUCGUAUUCGAAUACAACAUCUUUGUAUUCGAAUACAAGGUUGUUUCAGCAGUCAGCAGCAAAAACAUCAUGUUUGUAUUCGAAUACAACCUUCUAUAUUCGACUACACAAUAAGUCAGUAGCAAAACAACAUGUCUGUAUUCGAAUACAACAGUCUGUACUCGACUACAUAGUAAGUCAAUGGCAAAAACAACAUGUUUGUAUUCGAAUACAGCUUUCUGUAUUCGAAUACACAACAAACAGCAGCAGGAAAACAACAAAAUUCAGCAAAAUUCAGCUUUUUAAAGGGUUCUGAAAUCAAUCAACCCUUACACACAAAUCCAAACAAUCACACUUAGCAAUUAUAGCACAAUCACCAUGAAGACUUGAGUUUCGAAAUGGUUUUGCAAUCAGUCACACUUUCACACAAAUCCAAAACAUUCGCACUUGGCAAUUAUAACACAAUCACCAUGACAACUUGAGUUCAAACACUCAAUCAUAAUCUUGAAUCAAACACGACUCGCGUGCCAAACACCCUAAUGCAAUGCGUAUAUGCCAAAAUGCAUGGACUCAGAAUUCCCAACGAAAACUCUCCUCGAAGGGCCAUAAAUUAUAAUUGUACCGCCUAUCACAGGCCGAAGUACUAAAUUAUCGAGGUGCUACCUAUUACGGGUCAGCACGAUUUACUAAACAUGUUCAGUUUAUCGCAGACCUUAUCCGACGCGACAAUCCCCGCAAGGAUAAGAUGAACCAACAAAUCACAUGGAAUCAUCUUGUGGCCCAUCCGGUCACCACUAUUAUCAUGGCCCAUCCGGUCGCCAUGUACUAUGAAAUGCAUGAGCAUACUCUGACUCUAUGCACGACAAUCGUUGAGUAAAUGCAGAUAUUAAAAGAUUCACCAUUUUUAGUACUCAUUUAACUAUAACAAUUUUCACGACAAUCAUUAAGUAAACAUAUAUAUUAAAAGAUUCCCCAUUUUUAAUACUCUUUUAACUCUAACAAUUUUGAAGACAAUCAUUAAGUAAACAUAGAUAUUAAAAAAUUCCCCAUUUUUAAUUCUCGUUUAACUCUAACAAUUUUGACGACAAUCAUUAAGUAAAUGCAUAUAUUAAAAGAUUCCCCAUUUUUGAUACCCAUUUAACUCUAACAAUUUUGAAGACAAUCAUUAAGUAAAUAUAGAUAUUAAAAGAUUCCCCAUUUUUAAUACCCAUUUAACUCUAACAACUUUGACGACAAUCAUUAAGUAAAUGUAGAUAUUAAGUGAUUCCUCAUUCUUAAUACUCAUUUAACUCUAACAAUUUUGACGACAAUCAUUAAGUAAAUGCAUAUAUUAAGAGAUUCCACAUUCUUAAUACUCAUUUAACUCUAACGAUUUUCACUACAAACAUUAAGUAAACAGAGAUAUUAAAAGAUUCUUCGUUUUUAAUACUCGUUUAACUCUAAUAACUUUGACGACAAACAUUAAGUAAACAGAGAUAUUAAAAGAUUCUUCGUUUUUAAUACUCGUUUAACUCUAAUAACUUUGACGACAAACAUUAAGUAAACAGAGAUAUUAAAAGAUUCUUCGUUUUUAAUACUCGUUUAACUCUAAUAACUUUGACGACAAACAUUAAGUAAACAGAGAUAUUAAAAGAUUCUUCGUUUUUAAUACUCGUUUAACUCUAAUAACUUUGACGACAAACAUUAAGUAAACAGAGAUAUUAAAAGAUUCUUCGUUUUUAAUACUCGUUUAACUCUAAUAACUUUGACGACAAACAUUAAGUAAACAGAGAUAUUAAAAGUUCAAACCCAACAAUUUUAAUUUCCACAAAACCACAAAUAAGUCCCUAAAUGCAAACUAAAAGUUUGGAAGGAACCCUUACCUUAACGAUAGCUCUAACACGCGAUUACGGUACCGUAAUUAAUUCUGGUAAAAUCUUCGUUCAAAUCGUCGUUUCCAAGAUGGCUCACUAGCACCGCAACGUGGCAAGAAGCAACUUUUCCUUCUAUCACUUCUUGAAACGAAACUUAGAAGUUGAAGAAACGUGAGGGUUUGUGUUUGACGGUUUUGAAAUCCCUAACACCGUUUUUCUUCGUUUUCGAAUCAAACAAGAAGAAUGAAGUUGAGAAAUCUUUUUUUUCUAACCCACCAAGCCUUGGUUCCCUUUCUUGAAGCAAAAGGAAGCAACAAAAAUGAUGAAGGGAGAAGGAAGAAGAGAUGUAGUGUCGCGAGGCAGGGACAGGAAGAAAGGAUUAUGUUUUCUUUCUUUUCCUCUGUUUGUUUCCUUUUCCUUUUCUUUCCUUUUUCCUUUCUUUUUCCCUUUCCUUUCUUUUUCCCUCCAAACAUAUAUAUAUAUAUAU
rnacentral:lncRNA from 1 species